UGGCUCAGGACGAACGCUGGCGGCGUGCUUAACACAUGCAAGUCGAACGAUGAACCACUUCGGUGGGGAUUAGUGGCGAACGGGUGAGUAACACGUGGGCAAUCUGCCCUGCACUCUGGGACAAGCCCUGGAAACGGGGUCUAAUACCGGAUACUGAGCCACUUGGGCAUCCAAGUGGUUCGAAAGCUCCGGCGGUGCAGGAUGAGCCCGCGGCCUAUCAGCUUGUUGGUGAGGUAAUGGCUCACCAAGGCGACGACGGGUAGCCGGCCUGAGAGGGCGACCGGCCACACUGGGACUGAGACACGGCCCAGACUCCUACGGGAGGCAGCAGUGGGGAAUAUUGCACAAUGGGCGAAAGCCUGAUGCAGCGACGCCGCGUGAGGGAUGACGGCCUUCGGGUUGUAAACCUCUUUCAGCAG
rnacentral:rRNA from 1 species